AUUGAACGCUGGCGGCAGGCCCAACACAUGCAAGUCGAACGAGUGGCGGACGGGUGAGUAAUGUCUGGGAAACUGCCCGAUGGAGGGGGAUAACUACUGGAAAGGGUAGAUAAUACCGCAUACAAUCGGAUGUGCCCAUAUGGGGUUAGCUAGGAGGUGGGGUAAUGGCUCACCUAGGCGACGAUCCCUAGCUGGUCUGAGAGGAUGACCAGCAACACGGGAACUGAGACACGGUGAGGACUCCUACGGGAGGCAGUGGUGGGGAAUAUUGGACAAUGGGCGAAAGCCGUAUGCAGCGAUGCCGCGUGUAUGAGGAAGGCAUUCGGGUUGUAAAGUACUGUCAGCGGGGAGGCGUUACCCGCAGAAGAAGCACCGGCUAACUCCGUGCGAGCAGCCGCGGUAAUUC
rnacentral:rRNA from 1 species